UGCGGUGUGGUUUGAACCGCAUUUAUAAAAUUUAAACCCACAAACCGCACUGCACCACGCGGUUUGACAAAAAUACAAACCGCACCGCGAAGGGUUCUAAACCGCAAAUUGCGGUGUGGUGUGGUGCAGUGUGGACGGUUUGUGCGGUGUGGGCGGUUUUAUGAAUACCCCUAUCUCCAAUUAUGAGAUGCAGAUUAAUAGGGCCCUUAUGGAAUACCUCAGUUGGGUUUGAGUUUUGAGACACCUCAAAUGGGACAAAAGUAAAUAAACUGUUCAUUCAUGUGAAAUAACUUGGUAUACCCAGUUUUAUAACCGGUUAACAUAUUAUUUCGUGUUAGAGAGUUUGCAUCCAUUGUGUCAAAUGAGUUUACUGUUGGUGUUGCAUGUAUUCAGACAGCUCGACCUCAACAAAGCUGGGUCUCUGUAAAAUGGUGUUGUCAUGGUUUUGAUUUUAUGGCUUGAGGUGGGUUGCUCAUUAUUUUGUGAUUCGCUCAAGUCCUUCCAUUUAUUAGAGAGCAAUGUAAGCUAAAGUCAUUGGUUAUAUCCUUGAUUCCAGUUGAGAAGUAAACAGAGGAAAAAAUGCCAACAAUAUGUACCUUGGAAAAUCAAGAUGAUUGUGGCAGACAAAUCUCUAAAGCGAACAAGUCGUAACUCAGCAGUCAAAUACCAAAAUCUAAUAUUAAUCGACCAACAGGGGAAUCGAGUCCAAUCAAUAAUUUAUGGAACAGAUAUUGACUCUAGGGAGGACACUUUAAAAUUGUUUCACUCUUAUUGUAUCAGUGACGCCCUUGUCAAAAAUGCCAACCCAAGAUUUCUUAACUGUUGCAAUCCAGAUUGAAUCAACAAAAUAGAUAACCACAAAAUUUCAACAACAAACAAUCCAUAAGAUAUAUCUUAUCGAUGAAAGCUUCAACCCAAUUAAAUUGAUUAUGUGGGGUCGGUUUGUCCAAGACGAAUGCCAAACAAUAAAAAAAAAUUAUUGAAGAAUACCCAAUAAUAUUGGGAAUACAAAUAGUUGUUCGAACAUAUAGAGGAUUGUCCUGUCAUCACGUUCAUCAAGUACCUUCACAAUCAAUCCUCAAAUUCCAAAGGCAACUGCAUUAAAGCAAUGGGCGAAUAAUAAUACACUGAAAAUCAAAAGUAUCAUUGAAACAUCAUUGACACAUCCAUCUACUACUCUAUCAUCUAUUGGACUUAAAGAAACCAUGAAGAUUUGUGAUAUUCCCUGUGUGAUGAAGGCUUUGCAAUCUAUGGAGAAAGAAUACUUUUGGAUAGAAGCAAAGAUAAAUAUAAUUGAUUAUGCCCAAAUGUACUAUUACAUGUCGUGUGCAACAUGCCAUAGAAAAAUAUGACAUAAGUAUGAAGAAAUAAUUGUUUGCGAAAAUCCAAACGGCAAACAGCAAGACACCUCCACACCACAUGCUAGGGCAUAUGUGCAACUAGAAGAUGAUACUGGAAAGCUCGAUGCUGUUCUGUUCGGAGAAGUAGUAGAAUAGACAUUUGGUAGUUCUGCAGUCCAGUUGAUGGAAAAUUCUACAAAGGAAAUUCCUCAACACAUUGAAAGUGUUGCGAAUAAAUUAGCAACAAAAAAAUGGACAAUCAAAUUGUCUGCAGAUGAAGAAAAAAUGAAGAAUGUCAAAUACAAGCAUUUCACUAUUCUCUCCAUUGAAGCCGCACAAGAUGACAACAAGGAUGAAUCAUCAUCCUAAAUUACAAACACAAAUUAACACCUUUCUUCAUUUAUUUAUUUAUUCAAACAAAAUCACAUUCUUUAUUCUUUAUUAAACUAUAGACAAUUUUAUUUCUAUUUUUUUAUUUACAAAGGUCUACCAUUUAAAAC